AUUGAACGCUGGCGGCAGGCCUAACACAUGCAAGUCGAGCGGAUGAAGGGAGCUUGCUCCUGGAUUCAGCGGCGGACGGGUGAGUAAUGCCUAGGAAUCUGCCUGGUAGUGGGGGAUAACGUCCGGUAACGGGCGCUAAUACCGCAUACGUCCUGAGGGAGAAAGUGGGGGAUCUUCGGACCUCACGCUAUCAGAUGAGCCUAGGUCGGAUUAGCUAGUUGGUGGGGUAAAGGCCUACCAAGGCGACGAUCCGUAACUGGUCUGAGAGGAUGAUCAGUCACACUGGAACUGAGACACGGUCCAGACUCCUACGGGAGGCAGCAGUGGGGAAUAUUGGACAAUAGGCGAAAGCCUGAUCCAGCCAGGCCGCGUGUGUGAAGAAGGUCUUCGGAUUGUAAAGCACUUUAAGUUGGGAGGAAGGGCAGUAAGUUAAUACCUUGCUGUUUUGACGUUACCAACAGAAUAAGCACCGGCUAACUUCGUG
rnacentral:rRNA from 1 species